AUUGAACGCUGGCGGCAGGCCUAACACAUGCAAGUCGAACGAGUGGCGGACGGGUGAGUAAUGUCUGGGAAACUGCCUGAUGGAGGGGGAUAACUACUGGAAACGGUAGCUAAUACCGCAUACCAUCGGAUGUGCCCAGAUGGGAUUAGCUAGUAGGUGGGGUAAAGGCUCACCUAGGCGACGAUCCCUAGCUGGUCUGAGAGGAUGACAAGCCACACUGGAACGGAGAAACGGUCCAGACUCCGAGGGGAGGCAGCAGUGGGAAAUAUUGGAAAAUGGGCGCAAGCCUGAUGCAGCCAUGCGGGGUGUAUGAAGAAGGCCUUCGGGUUGUAAAGUACUUUCGGCGGGGAGGCGUUACCCGCAGAAGAAGCACCGGCUAACUCCUUGCCAGCAGCCGCGUAAUUC
rnacentral:rRNA from 1 species